rnacentral:rRNA from 1 species
UGGGGAAUAUUGGACAAUGGGCGAAAGCCUGAUCCAGCCAUGCCGCGUGUGUGAAGAAGGCCUUCGGAUUGUAAAGCACUUUAAGUUGGGAGGAAGGGCAGUAAGCGAAUACCUUGCUGUUUUGACGUUACCGACAGAAUAAGCACCGGCUAACUCUGUGCCAGCAGCCGCGGUAAUACAGAGGGUGCAAGCGUUAAUCGGAAUUACUGGGCGUAAAGCGCGCGUAGGUGGUUCGUUAAGUUGGAUGUGAAAGCCCCGGGCUCAACCUGGGAACUGCAUCCAAAACUGGCGGGCUAGAGUAGGGCAGAGGGUGGUGGAAUUUCCUGUGUAGCGGUGAAAUGCGUAGAGAUCUGGAGGAAUACCGAUGGCGAAGGCAGCCAUCUGGCCUGACACUGACGCUGAGGUACGAAAGCAUGGGGAGCAAACAGG